rnacentral:tRNA from 1 species
AAAUAAGAAGCGAAUAUAUUGCAACCAGUUUCGACCUGGUUAACUUGAUGUUAAAUCAUCCUUA